rnacentral:rRNA from 1 species
CCCUUAGAUGUUCUGGGCUGCACGCGCGCUACACUGAAGCGUUCAACGAGUAUUCACCUUGCCCGGGAGGGUUGGGUAAUCUUUUCAAAACGCUUCGUGAUGGGGAUAGAUUAUUGCAAUUAUUAAUCUUCAACGAGGAAUUCCUAGUAAGCGCGAGUCAUCAGCUCGUGCUGAUUACGUCCCUGCCCUUUGUACACACCGCCCGUCGCUCCUACCGAUUGAGUGGUCCGGUGAGGCUUUGGGAUCUGAGCGGAAAGAGCGUUUCGCUGUUUCUGCUCGGAAAACUCAGUCGAACCUUAUCAUUUAGAGGAAGGAGAAGUCGUAACA